rnacentral:rRNA from 1 species
CCUACGGGGGGCAGCAGUAGGGAAUAUUGCGCAAUGGGCGAAAGCCUGACGCAGCAACACCGCGUGGAGGAUGAAGGUUUUCGGAUCGUAAACUCCUGUCGGCAGGGAAUAUAAUGACUGUACCUGCAAAGGAAGCAUCGGCUAACUACGUGCCAGCAGCCGCGGUAAUACGUAGGAUGCAAGCGUUGUCCGGAAUUAUUGGGCGUAAAGAGUUCGUAGGUGGUUAUCUAAGUCUGGUGUUAAAGCCCGGAGCUCAACUCCGGCAUGGCAUUGGA